GCGCCUGUAGCUCAACUGGAUAGAGCGCCAGCCUUCGGAGCUGGGCGUUGCAGGUUCGACUCCUGCCAGGCGCA
rnacentral:tRNA from 1 species